CUAGAUCUAAGACAUCUAAAAACCAUUUAUGUAUAAAGUAGAGCUACUAUACUAUCGGAACAAUAGAGCAUCUGCUACUUUCGACUUUUUGGUCCUUAGAUCAGCCCCUUUAAUCAUUUCUAAUCUUUAGAUUAAUACUAUUAUCCUGUGGGGACCACUCAACUGUAGAGAGGACCGCAAUCAUCCUAACCGUAUAAUUCUCGAUCCAAGGCUCAAAAAAUCAAAAAUAUCAAAUCCUCUAUACUUCCGAUAGUAUAAUUGUUCUACACUUUAUGUGUAUGCCAAAAGUUAUAUACGCAAUAGUGAAAA
rnacentral:lncRNA from 1 species